rfam:Rhodosporidium toruloides NP11 unplaced genomic scaffold Scaffold4, whole genome shotgun sequence.
UUGACCUUCUUCACAAACCACAGGGAACGAUACAGAGAAGAUUAGCAUGGCCCCUGCACAAGGAUGACACAUGCAUGUCAGAAAGGUUGUCUCUAUGGAGACCAAUUUUUU